rnacentral:tRNA from 1 species
UGGGGUAUGGUGUAAUUGGCAACACGGGUGAUUCUGGUUCAUCUGUUCUUGGUUCGAGUCCAGGUACCCCAG